rnacentral:rRNA from 1 species
UACGAAGGGUGCAAGCGUUGUCCGGAAUUAUUGGGCGUAAAGAGCUCGUAGGCGGUUUGUCGCGUCUGCUGUGAAAACGCGAGGCUCAACCUCGCGCCUGCAGUGGGUACGGGCAGACUAGAGUGCGGUGGGGGAGAUUGGAAUUCCUGGUGUAGCGGUGGAAUGCGCAGAUAUCAGGAGGAACACCGAUGGCGAAGGCAGAUCUCUGGGCCGUAACUGACGCUGAGGAGCGAAAGCAUGGGGAGCGAACAGG